CACACCGCCCGUCACACCAUGGGAGUUGAUUGCUCCAGAAGCCGGUGGUCCAACGCAAGAGGAAGCCGUCCAAGGAGUGAUUAGUAACUGGGGUG
rnacentral:rRNA from 1 species